UUGUUCAGUACCAGAAUCAAUUAGGGCAGGGAUGGGUAAUUUUAUCUGGUUGACUGAGAUGGUAGUAGAAAAUACACUUUUGGCUUCAAAACAUCAUUUUCUGUCCUCCGGAAUCAAUCGUGCUCAUUGGAUCUGCAUGAGUUCGGAUUCAGAUGAUUGUUCAGGUUUGAGGUGGUUCUGGAGCAUUGGGAGCAGGGAAAGGAUAAAAGGUGAGUGCAGUACCAGGUGAGUAUUUCACGGUGCUGGUGGUAAACAGGCAGAGAAAAUCCACAAGGCUUCUUACUAAGAAUAAGACACAAACGUGAGGUUAGCUGAUAAUAAUAAUUUUAAAAAAGACACUAAAGGAGCUUGAGAACCAUACCAAAUGGUUUGAUAUAUUCCAGUGAGGAUCUGAUCCUUUCAGUCAGCUUUUAAAGCCCUGGAGCUCAUCAGCUAGAUUGCCUGCAGCUGCUGUCAAUUGCUGCCUCCACCACUCAGUGGUGCAAGUGCGGUAUCCCACAAUCUUUAAAGAAAACAAACUCACUCUUAAAACAAUAUCAUUUGA